rnacentral:lncRNA from 1 species
UGGUGGCCACGUCCCAGUUGCCAACCUGGGGGGGUUUUGGUGGCCUCCAGGGGGCUUUUGGUAGUUGCCAGUGAAGUUUUGGUUGUCCCCAGGGGGAUUUUUGUGGCCCCCGGUGGGGUUUGGUGUCCCCCAGGAGGUUUUUGGUGGUCCUGGGAGGGUUUUGGUGGUCCUGGGAGGUUUUGGUGGUUUCCAAGGAGAGUUUUCCUGGAGUUUUGUCUCUUUUUGUCAUGCCUGGGGCCACGGGGAGGGGGCUCUGGGGGUCCCAGCCCCAUUUCUGGGGGUCCUGGCUCAAUUUUUGAGGGUCCCAGCUCCAUUCCUGAGGGUCUCGCCGCGGUCACGCCGGGAUUUGGGGUGACUUUGGGUGGGAUUGGAGCCGAGGGGGGCUCAGAGCCGCCACCGGGGCUGGGGGAGGCAGCGGCGCCGGGGCUGGUGACGCUUCGGGGUUUAGGGCAGGAACCGGGGCCGAGUUCGGGAGCCAGAGCCGAACCUGGGGCUGGAACCGGGACUGAAUUUGGGGUCGGGGCUGGGCUUGGGGUGUCCGGGGCUGGGCUUGGGGUGUCCCUGUCCCUCCCCAGCGCCAGAGACGGGGACGAUGCUCCGCUGCUGCUCGGACACGGCUUUGUUCAGCGGGGAACGCGUUCCUGCCGGACGGCGGCUCCGCAGCGGGGCAAUCCCCGCCCGGCUGGGGCAGCCACCGAGGACAUCCCGGGCGGCUCGGGAAGGGGCUGCGGAGCCGGGAAAUCGGCNNNNNNNNNNGGCAUCCCGGGCGGCUCGGGAAGGGGCUGCGGAGCCGGGAAAUCGGCCCCGAGCGGCUCCUCCGUGCCCGUCCCGCCCGGGGAUGCUCCGUGCCCGGCCGCCUUCACCGCGAGGGACCCCGGCGGGGGGACACGGGGGGCUGAGCAGGGACACCGGGGAGUUGGUGGAGCGCUGCGAACGGGAAGAAGGAGCGGAGCAGCAGGAGCAGCAGGAACGCCGCCAGCCCCAGGCCGACCCACAGCAGGUAACGCCACGGGACGCCGUGGCGGACGAGGCUCAGCGGGGACCGCAGCCACAGGAAGGAGGACUUGGGGCGCCUGCGGGGACACCGGGCUGAGCCACCGCUCGUCCCCUCCCCGGCGGCUCCUCCCGGCUCGCCCCGGGCUCACCUGGGCUCGGGCAGCGUCGGGUGCUUGUUGGGCUCCUCCCGACCCUUCCCCACCGGCCGCUCCUCGGCCUCCCGCGCCGUCAGCAGCUCCAGGCUGA